GCUGGGCAUGGUGGCACACACCUGUAAUCCCAGCCACUUAGGAGGCUGAGGCAGGAGGAUUGCAAGUUUAAAGCCAGCCUCAGCAAAAGUGAGGCGCUAAAUCAACUCAGUGAAACCCUGUCUCUA
rnacentral:sRNA from 1 species